UACGGAGGGGGCUAGCGUUGUUCGGAAUUACUGGGCGUAAAGCGCACGUAGGCGGCUUUGUAAGUUAGAGGUGAAAGCCCAGGGCUCAACCCUGGAAUUGCCUUUAAGACUGCAUCGCUUGAAUCAUGGAGAGGUGAGUGGAAUUCCGAGUGUAGAGGUGAAAUUCGUAGAUAUUCGGAAGAACACCAGUGGCGAAGGCGACUCACUGGACAUGUAUUGACGCUGAGGUACGAAAGCGUGGGGAGCAAACAGGG
rnacentral:rRNA from 1 species